GUCUCUGUGGCGCAAUCGGUUAGCGCG
rnacentral:piRNA from 1 species